GACGACCGCUGGCGGCGUGCUUAACACAUGCAAGUCGAACGUAAAAGCUAUGCUUUUGUGGGGUGCUCGAGUGCCGAGCGGGUGAGUAACACGUGUGUACCCUGCCCUUGACUUUGGGCUAACUUCAGGCCUCUACGGUUUCUACCGCAUAGGAUCUCCUGCUGCAUGGCCGGCGUUGGCGAGUUUCGGCGGUUGGGGAUGGACUCGCGGCUUAUCAGCUUGUUGGUGGGGUAUUUGCUUACCAAGGCUUUGACGGGUAGCCGGCCUGAGAGGGUGACCGGCGUCAGUGGGACGGAGAUAGCGACCAGACUACUACGGGGGGCAGCAGUGGGAAAUAUUGCAGAAUGGGAGCAAGCCUGAUGCAGCAACGCGGUGAGCGGGAGGAUGGUAUUCGGGGGGAGAACGGCUGUUGCCGGGGACGAAGCGGGAGUGACGGUAAUGGUUAAAGAAGCACCGGCUAACUAAGUG
rnacentral:rRNA from 1 species